rnacentral:snRNA from 1 species
GGAUGUAAAGGCGAUCUGGUUGUGACAUCUGCCACUCCAGGGAUUGCCAGUUUGAUUUGACUGAUUUGGCUGGCUAGGAGAGUACCCCCCACCCCAAGCUGCAUGCUAGGUAGAAGAGUAUAACUACUCCCUACAGAAGAGGACCGUUCCCUCAGUCAAGGAUGUAUGAGUAGCAGCGCUCCUCUGCUAAAAUCUCCAAAAACAAGCUCUUUAAAAAAAAAAGCCUGGUCCCAAGAAUUUAAAGAACUCACUUUUAUUUUAUUCUUUAUAUUGUCAGU